rnacentral:lncRNA from 1 species
CUUAUCAGUAAUGUCUGAUUGGGAGUACUCCUUGAUCAUUCUCAUAAAUUCCCUUGCAUUAUUUAUCUUAGGCAUAGACGGCUUGACAUUAUCAGAUAUUGACAUUCUCAUCAAGCUAAGACUCAACCUGAUUGACCGCUCCCAAGCCUCAAAAAAGUCUUGUCUGCCUCCGAGCUGGUCUCAGUUAUGGUUGGUUCACUAUCCAUAAUGAUAGCCAAGUCCAACUCCAUUACACCCAGUGAGAACUGGAUCUGUUCAGACCAAUCAGCA